rnacentral:sRNA from 1 species
GACACAAGGGUCAAAAGGUCAAAAAGCCGGUCAUGCUUGCAUGAUAAGGCUUUUGAACUUGGGACCCGCCAAACAUGAGAAAGCAGCGAUUUACGUAGUAAAUCAGCGGAUUUCGAAUGUUUGCAGAAUUGCGGGAGCAUGAAAUGCGAAGCAAUCCGUGU